GGUCGCAUGGUGUAGUUGGUUAUCACGUCAGCUUAACAAAUUCGUCUGAUCGAGCCAGUAGGCAUCGGCAAAAAUAUGUGUUCCGCUGAAGGUCCUCAGUUCAAUCCUGAGUGCGAUCA